rnacentral:rRNA from 1 species
GAUGAACGCUGGCGGCGUGCCUAAUACAUGCAAGUCGAACGGGAGUCGUAGUUUUCGGAUUACGAUGAGAGUGGCGCACGGGUGAGUAACACGUAGCUGAUCUGCCCUCUGCAGGGGGAUAACUUGCCGAAAGGUGAGCUAAUACCGCGUAAGCUUGGCGGGGCUAGAGGCCUGCUAAGGAAAGCGUUAGCGGCAGAGGAGGAGGCUGCGAUCCAUCAGCUCGUUGGUGAGGUAAAAGCUCACCAAGGCGACGACGGGUAGGGGGCCUGAGAGGGUGACCCCCCACACUGGAACUGAGACACGGUCCAGACUCCUACGGGAGGCAGCAGUAAGGAAUAUUGCACAGUGGGCGGAAGCCUGAUGCAGCAACGCCGCGUGAAGGAUGAAGGUUUUCGGAUCAUAAACUUCUUUUAGAUGGGAAGAGCAAGGACGGUACCAUCGGAAUAAGUCUCGGCUAACUACGUGCCAGCAGCCGCGGUAAAACGUAGGAGGCGAGCGUUAUCCGGAAUUACUGGGCGUAAAGCGCGCGUAGGCGGUGGUUUAAGUGGUGCGUGAAAGCUCCUGGCUCAACUGGGAGAGGACGUACCAAACUGAAUGAC